rnacentral:rRNA from 1 species
AUUGAACGCUGGCGGCAUGCUUUACACAUGCAAGUCGAACGGUAACAGGCCGCAAGGUGCUGACGAGUGGCGAACGGGUGAGUAAUGCAUCGGAACGUGCCCAGUCGUGGGGGAUAACGCAGCGACAGCUGUGCUAAUACCGCAUACGAUCUACGGAUGAAAGCGGGGGACCGUAAGGCUUCGCUCCAUUGGAGCGGCCGAUGUCAGAUUAGGUAGUUGGUUGGGUAAAGGCUCACCAAGCCAACGAUCUGUAGGUGGUCUGAGAGGACGACCAGCCACACUGGGACUGAGACACGGCCCAGACUCCUACGGGAAGCAGCAGUGGUGAAUUUUGGACAAUGGGCGCAAGCCUGAUCCAGCAAUGCCGCGUGCAGGAAGAAGGCCUUCGGGUUGUAAGCUGCUUUUGUACGGAACGAAAAGGUUUGGGUUAAUACCCUGGGCCGAUGGCGGUACCGUAAGAAUAAGCACCGGCUAACUACGUGCCAGCCGCCGCAGUAAAAC